rnacentral:rRNA from 1 species
UACGUAGGGGGCAAGCGUUGUCCGGAAUCAUUGGGCGUAAAGAGCGCGUAGGCGGUCCGAUAAGUCGGUUGUGAAAACUGGGGGCUCAACCCUCAGAGGCCGACCGAUACUGUCGGGCUAGAGUCCGGAAGAGGCGAGUGGAAUUCCUGGUGUAGCGGUGAAAUGCGCAGAUAUCAGGAAGAACACCCGUGGCUAAGGCGGCUCUCUAGUACGGUACUGACGCUGAGACGCGAAAGCGUGGGGAGCGAACAGG